CAUAGGUUAAUGAGGCGAACCGGGGGAACUGAAACAUCUAAGUACCCCGAGGAAAAGAAAUCAACCGAGAUUCCCCCAGUAGCGGCGAGCGAACGGGGAGCAGCCCAGAGCCUGAAUCAGUGUGUGUGUUAGUGGAAGCGUCUGGAAAGGCGCGCGAUACAGGGUGACAGCCCCGUACACAAAAAUGCACAUACUGUGAGCUCGAUGAGUAGGGCGGGACACGUGGUAUCCUGUCUGAAUAUGGGGGGACCAUCCUCCAAGGCUAAAUACUCCUGACUGACCGAUAGUGAACCAGUACCGUGAGGGAAAGGCGAAAAGAACCCCGGCGAGGGGAGUGAAAAAGAACCUGAAACCGUGUACGUACAAGCAGUGGGAGCACGCUUAGGCGUGUGACUGCGUACCUUUUGUAUAAUGGGUCAGCGACUUAUAUUCUGUAGCAAGGUUAACCGAAUAGGGGAGCCGAAGGGAAACCGAGUCUUAACUGGGCGUUAAGUUGCAGGGUAUAGACCCGAAACCCGGUGAUCUAGCCAUGGGCAGGUUGAAGGUUGGGUAACACUAACUGGAGGACCGAACCGACUAAUGUUGAAAAAUUAGCGGAUGACUUGUGGCUGGGGGUGAAAGGCCAAUCAAACCGGGAGAUAGCUGGUUCUCCCCGAAAGCUAUUUAGGUAGCGCCUCGUGAAUUCAUCUCCGGGGGUAGAGCACUGUUUCGGCAAGGGGGUCAUCCCGACUUACCAACCCGAUGCAAACUGCGAAUACCGGAGAAUGUUAUCACGGGAGACACACGGCGGGUGCUAACGUCCGUCGUGAAGAGGGAAACAACCCAGACCGCCAGCUAAGGUCCCAAAGUCAUGGUUAAGUGGGAAACGAUGUGGGAAGGCCCAGACAGCCAGGAUGUUGGCUUAGAAGCAGCCAUCAUUUAAAGAAAGCGUAAUAGCUCACUGGUCGAGUCGGCCUGCGCGGAAGAUGUAACGGGGCUAAACCAUGCACCGAAGCUGCGGCAGCGACGCUGAUGCGUUGUUGGGUAGGGGAGCGUUCUGUAAGCCUGCGAAGGUGUGCUGUGAGGCAUGCUGGAGGUAUCAGAAGUGCG
rnacentral:rRNA from 1 species